AACGAACGCUGGCGGCAGGCCUAACACAUGCAAGUCGAACGCUCUAGCAAUAGAGAGUGGCGCACGGGUGCGUAACGCGUGGGAAUAUGCCCUUGACUACGGAACAACGUCGGGAAACUGACGCUAAUACCGUAUAAUGUCUUCGGACCAAAGAUUUAUCGGUCAAGGAUUAGCCCGCGUCUGAUUAGCUAGUUGGUGAGGUAACGGCUCACCAAGGCGACGAUCAGUAGCUGGUCUGAGAGGAUGAUCAGCCACACUGGGACUGAGACACGGCCCAGACUCCUACGGGAGGCAGCAGUGAGGAAUAUUGGACAAUGGAGACAACUCUGAUCCAGCCAUGCCGCGUGAGUGACGAAGGCCUUCGGGUUGUAAAGCUCUUUCAGAUGCGAAGAUAAUGACGGUAACAUCAGAAGAAGCCCCGGCUAAAUUCGUGCCAGCCGCCGCGGUAA
rnacentral:rRNA from 1 species